CUGCCAGAUUUCCAGCCAGUCGAGUCUAGAGGAGAAUCCUGAGAAUCACUCGAUUCGUUCGACAGACGAGAGUCGAGCUCUCCAGCCAGAAACACGAAGCAGCUCAACGCCACACGAUGACCCCAGCAGAGAGAUCAGCACGCCGGAGCAACACAGCACAGCGGUCUCCUGGGUAACCGUGGUAACAGAGAAGGUCAGCUCCGUU